AUUGAACGCUGGCGGCAGGCCUAACACAUGCAAGUCGAGCGGAUAAGGAAAGCUUGCUUUUCGAUUCAGCGGCGGACGGGUGAGUAAUGCCUAGGAAUCUGCCUGUUAGUGGGGGAUAACUCGGGGAAACUCGGGCUAAUACCGCAUACGUCCUACGGGAGAAAGUGGGGGAUCUUCGGACCUCACGCUAACAGAUGAGCCUAGGUCGGAUUAGCUAGUAGGUGAGGUAAUGGCUCACCUAGGCGACGAUCCGUAACUGGUCUGAGAGGAUGGUCAGUCACACUGGAACUGAGACACGGUCCAGACUCCUACGGGAGGCAGCAGUGGGGAAUAGUGGACAAUGGGCGAAAGCCUGAUCCAGCCAUGCCGCGUGUGUGAAGAAGGUCUUCGGAUUGUAAAGCACUUUAAGUUGGGAGGAAGGGUAUUCACCUAAUACGUGGGUACUUUGACGUUACCAACAGAAUAAGCACCGGCUAACUCUGUGCCAGCAGCCGCCGUAAAAC
rnacentral:rRNA from 1 species